rnacentral:rRNA from 1 species
GGAAUUUUGGAAAUGCCCAACUCCCUGAUCCAACUUGCCGCGUGUCUGCGCUCGCCUUCGGACUGUACCCGACUUCUGUUAAGGAAAAAUAAGUAGGUGCUUGUAUCACUGACUGAUGAAUUCCCCAAAGCAAUCUCCUAUCUCUAACAAAUUGCCAACAUGUCCGGACCUACUAAGGGUCUUCGCGUUGCUCCGAAUUACUGGGCGUAUCCGAGCUUGACGGUUAUUUAAUUCAUAUGUUUGAUCCCCGAGCUUGCCUUGGGAACUGCCUUUGAGACUGGGUAACUAGAGUGUGUCACAGGGGGGUAGAAUUCCACGUGUAGCAGUGAAAUGCGUAGAGAUGUGGAGGAAUACCGAUGGCGAAGGCAGCCCCCUGGGAUAACACUGACGUUCAUGCUCGAAAGCGUGGGUAGCAAACAGGAUUAGAUACCCUGGUAGUCCACGCCCUAAACGAUGUCAAUUAGCUGUUGGGGUGCUUGACACCUUAGUAGCGUAGCUAACGCGUGAAAUUGACCGCCUGGGGAGUACGGUCGCAAGAUUAAAACUCAAAGGAAUUGACGGGGACCCGCACAAGCGGUGGAUGAUGUGGAUUAAUUCGAUGCAACGCGAAGAACCUUACCUGGUCUUGACAUGUACGGAAUCUCUUAGAGAUAGGAGAGUGCCUUCGGGAAUCGUAACACAGGUGCUGCAUGGCUGUCGUCAGCUCGUGUCGUGAGAUGUUGGGUUAAGUCCCGCAACGAGCGCAACCCUUGUCAUUAGUUGCCAUCAUUUAGUUGGGCACUCUAAUGAGACUGCCGGUGACAAACCGGAGGAAGGUGGGGAUGACGUCAAGUCCUCAUGGCCCUUAUGACCAGGGCUUCACACGUCAUACAAUGGUCGGUACAGAGGGUAGCCAAACCGCGAGGUGGAGCCAAUCCCAGAAAACCGAUCGUAGUCCGGAUUGCACUCUGCAACUCGAGUGCAUGAAGUCGGAAUCGCUAGUAAUCGCAGGUCAGCAUACUGCGGUGAAUACGUUCCCGGGUCUUGUACACACCGCCCGUCACACCAUGGGAGUGGGGGAUACCAGAAGUAGGUAGGAUAACCGCAAGGAGUCCGCUUACCACGGUAUGUUCAUGACUGGGGUGAAGUCUAGCAAUUAACCCCUGA